GGACGAAACUAAACAAAGUUUCUGCUUCACGUAUAUGGACGAAACUAAACAAAGUUUCUGCUUCACGCGUAUCAAGUGCCAACACAUAAAUCCUGAGUAUUGAAUGUUAAAUGUCGGAUAGCGGCGGACGGGUGAGUAACGCGUGGGCAACCUGCCUUUCACUGGGGGAUAACACAGGGAAACCUGUGCUAAUACCGCAUGACAUCACGUAGGGCAUCCUAUGUGAUCAAAGGAGAGAUCCGGUGGAAGAUGGGCCCGCGUCCAAUUAGCUGGUUGGUGAGGUAAAGGCUCACCAAGGCGACGAUUGGUAGCCGAACUGAGAGGUUGAUCGGCCACAUUGGGACUGAGACACGGCCCAGACUCCUACGGGAGGCAGCAGUGGGGAAUAUUGCGCAAUGGGGGGAACCCUGACGCAGCAACGCCGCGUGAAGGAAGAAGGUCUUCGGAUUGUAAACUUCUUUGAUGAGGGACGAAUAAAGUGACGGUACCUCAAAAACAAGCCACGGCUAACUACGUG
rnacentral:rRNA from 1 species